CUCAGAAACACCCUUCUUUAUUUCUCCUUCAGGCCCAACACGAUACCCUUCAUUGCAUUCAUUGUCCUGAACAAUCAACAGAUCAGAAGAGCA